ACUUCCAUGCAGUGGAUCAGUUGGCUUGGGGGUCGAUGAAGAACGGAGCUAAAUCCGUGACAUAAUGUGAACUGCAGGACACAUGAACAUCGACACUUUGAACGCAUAUUGCGGGCCUGUGCUCGUCACAGGCCUACCCCUUAUUUCAGGGUCG
rnacentral:rRNA from 1 species